UCUAAGUAUUGACGAAAAUUUUAUUUUUUGCGAAAAAUAAUUUUUUUGCGGUGCUGUACAUUGGAAUUUCAUAAAAAUUCAAAACAUUUUUAAACAAGCCCAAACAUGCUAAAUAUGAUUAUCAAUGCAGAAAAAUGCAUUUUAGAUUGUUUUCAGUUGAUUAGACUUCUAUUUUCAUGGAAAUUUUGAAGUUUUUUGGAAAAAUAUUUUUUUGCCCUCUGAUUUUUCAGACCAAUUUUGAAGGGGGGGGGGGGGGGAGGGGGGGCGACAUAAACCUGGAAAAAUAUUUGCAACGGCUUAAGAGGAUUUAAAAAAAAUCUAUGAAGUCCUAAAUGAAGAAAUGGUUUUUUCCUGAAAAAAGGUAUUAGACUUAUAUUUUGAUAUUUAUAAAUUUAAAAUAUUUUACCAUAGACGAACAGACGUGAGCUGUUAGUAAAUCUCUUUCAAAUCGGGAUCGGUGGUGUAGUUGUAAAGGAGCCAUUACACUACGGCAAACAAACAAACAAACUCGCAUUUUUUGACAGUUUGCCAGAUUGCCAGCUUUGUUUUUGCCUGAAUUUGUUUGUACAAACGUCAGCCUGCAUACAUUUUGCCUUGUUUGGCAAACUGUCAAACACGAAAAAGUGCGAGUUUGUUUGUUUGCAGUAGUGUAAUAGCUCCUUAAGCGUGGUUGCCCAGCGAUGGAAAAAUCAUCACAAAAAAAAAUCGGAGUGGAACAUGGCUCUCCUCUCUCACGCACGAAAGAUCAGAAAAAGAAAUCUAAAAAAAAUCAUCAUUUUGAUUAUUCGACGGAACAUCUUUUUCACUACUACACUUGCUGGAGUAAGGUCACAAUUUUUCUUUUAUUAUUCGAUUAUCCAAAUUUAAAAAAAAAACGUUACUUAAUCCACCUAUAGGUGGUUGGUGCCUUCCUCACAUUUAUGGUUUACAAUAGGGUCCUAGCACACCAUUUGUUUUGCUGGCCGGUACAAAAUUUAACCUCAAUCUUUUUCAUGUACGUAUACGCAAUACAUGCGCACGUAAAAAAGCAAAGCAAUCCACUUUAACGAACCCCGGGUCUUUUUGUGGUCUCUGUUGCAAGUUUCUGCUCAUUUCUAGGCGUUAUGUGUGGUGAGUCACCCAAAACCUCUUUUACGCAAAUGGACCGACGUUUUACUACCCCAUCCGACAGAAGGCCAGGAGGAUAAAGCGGGAAUCGAACCCGCGCCCCAUAGCAACAUAGGGAUCGGCAGCCGAAGCCGCCAACCAACGCGCCACGAGGCCUUACCUGCACACGUAGAUAACUCUAUUGGAGAGGGAAAAGGAUGUCAUUUGUUUUAACACAUUGGACAUCCCUUCUCCCUCACCACAAUUAUUCAUGUAACAAAACAUAGGAUCUAAUUUGAAUCCUAAAAUUGAACUAAAAUUAGUAAUAUUCUUGUUUACAACGAUAAUAUUUUUUUUUGAUUUUGUUUUUUCACAAUAGGUUUAAAUUAGAUUUUUAAAUCAAUUUUGAAAAAUUGAUUCCACGGCCGAUUUUGACAUAAAGUAUUUUUCUUUAAACCUCGUUCCAAGGGGACCAUAGUUGAUCUAUCGUAAAUGUUGUCUUGACAAAUUCUUUUAUUUUUUGCAAUAAAAUCACCCUUAUCAAGAAUUACGAUUCACUGAAUUUGUUAUAUCACUUUUACAUACGAUUUUUUCAGUUCAACCUUUUUUGGUUUAAUACUUGAACAUUAACCUAAUGAGAAUUUUGGCUCUAGCAUCGAGUCGAUUAAGGCUUGUACGCGAGCCAAAUCGAAUCGAGGCUCGAGCUAAAAUGCUCGACUUGAACUCUAAAAUUUGCUUGAAAAUGUGGGAAAACGAACUCUUGAUUUUUGGUCAGUGUGUAGUAAGAGGUAAUUUUGACGUUUGAUCAAUUCUCAAUGUGAGUGUUCGUGCAAAAAUGCAGAAUCCAUCUCCUGUUUUGCAUUCUUCACAAUGUCAUCUGUUAAAAGCAAUUCCAAACAAAAUAUGUAUAUUUUUUUAAUUUUAUCAAAUUUCAAGUGGACGAUCAAGUUUUGUGUGAAAAAAGGCUAAAAGUGUCUUUGGUCAAACUAAACAAGAGUGAUGGCGGCGGCAGCGUCAUCGUCGGUCUGGUCCGUUCCUGAUCGACUUUCCAAUACGACCGACGGAACAAUUUCCUAUCCCGGGACGAUCCGUUGCAGAUCGGCAAUCGAAGAUCCUGUCGCGGUAGAUACAACGUUGUCUUCCAGACUACGCAAUACGCGAGACCUUAAACGAUGAUGGAUUUGAGGCAGCAGGAGGAAGUUUCAUUUGACCACGAGUGGAGAAAGUCAUUAUUUAUAAAAAAUGAAAAUAAAUGAGAAAAUAUGUAUCUACUUAGUCUUUGUUUCUUUGCAAA